AUUUCUAUUCCGCCGUCGACUUUGUUUCGGUCUUUCAGCGAGGUCACACGCGCGUCCGCGCGAUUGAGAUCCAACGGUGCGCAUCAAAGUCCCAACCCGCAGCCUAUUUUGUGUGUACGUUUUGCCGGGUACGCGUAGUGAGGAGCUGUGCUCUGACCUGUUCCCCACCUCCCACCACUGAUACUGCCUUCGAGGCUUGGAGAGAGCGAGGCAUACCUGUUCCCCAUUUCUGACGAUUCGCUCGAUUUCACCGGCGAUUCGCGACGCCGGGAGGAGAUUCGUCAGCGCCGAUUGAUUCCUCGCGGAGGGGGCUGCUUCCUCGCGCCGGUGGCCGCUUCCUCCCGCGGGCAAAGCUUCCUCGCGACGGCGAAGCAUCCUUGAGCGGGCACGCGCCGGCGAAGCUUCCUCGCGCCGGUGGCUCCUUCGCCGUGUUGAUGGCCGCUUUCCAGCAUUAAUUAACAGAGUAUUUACAUCGUUGUGCCACAUCCUCACGGGCGGCGGCAACAUCCUCUUCGCGGGCACGUCGUCACAGCAGCAGCCAAAACUUCAGCGUCACCGGUCACAUUCCUACGGGGUCGGCUACAUCCCAGUGUCUCCUGAUACAUCCAACUGUAAGGCAAUCACAUUUCUAUCCUGAAGUCGCUCGAUGUAGUAGUUUGAGUAUUCUCAGUGUUCAGGCUAGUGUUCGGCUGAUCGAUGUACUUGCGUUGAUAUGUUAGUAGCACAAAUUAGUUACAGUAGUGGAAGAGUACCAUCUAGUAAUAAAAUUGACAGGAGAUGUUUUGAGAUCCUGAUGUAACACGUCGGUGACUCGGUGUUGUUUCUGUUGUUCGGGUUUAGAUCGAUGGAGGACUUGAUUUCGUUGUGCAAAAGAUGAUGGGAUCCGAUGGAGAGCACGUACGUAGAAAAGAUGAUGUUUUGGACCA